rnacentral:misc_RNA from 1 species
GAUGAAGAACGUAGCGAAAUGCGAUAAGUAAUGUGAAUUGCAGAAUUCAGUGAAUCAUCGAAUCUUUGAACGCACCUUGCGCCCUUUGGCCAUUCCGAAGGGCAUGCCUGUUUGAGUAUCAUGAACACCUCAACUCUCAUGGCUCGCCAUGAUGAGCUUGGACUUUGGGGGUCUUGCUGGCCUGUGGUCGGCUCCUCUCAAAUGGAUCAGCUUGCCAGUGUUUGGUGGCAUCACAGGUGUGAUAACUAUCUGCGCUUGUUGUUUUCCAUCAGAUAACCUUCAGUGAUGGAGGUUCGCUGGAGCUCAUAAACGUCUCCCCUAAGCGGGGACAGCCCUUUGAAUGUUUGAUCUCAAAUCAGGUAGGACUACCCGCUGAACUUAAGCAUAUCAAUAAGCGGAGGA